UUUUACUGCUAAAAGAAAGUUGAAGUGUGCAGUAUAGGGACAGGAGUUUCCUUCAGCUUGCAGAGACACUCCCACUGCAGGAGGAGAUGAGUUUGCUGCAAGUGUAAGGUGUGGAAAACCUUAAACGUGAUGUUGAGACAGCACAAGCUGCAGUAUCAGCUUUUAUUACAGGGCAGCUGCCUGGGUGGUGUCUCAGCUCGUUUUCAGAGGGGAGCACAGACCCAGCGUUCUGCCAUCAGCUAACUCCAGGGAAGAGCCUGCCUGCAAAAUACCGCUUGCCCCGGCAGCAGAUUUCUGCCACGAGGAGA